rnacentral:rRNA from 1 species
GAUUAAGUUAUUAAGGGCGCACGGUGGAUGCCUUGGCACUAGAAGCCGAUGAAGGACGUUACUAACGACGAUAUGCUUUGGGGAGCUGUAAGUAAGCUUUGAUCCAGAGAUUUCCGAAUGGGGAAACCCAGCAUGAGUUAUGUCAUGUUAUCGAUAUGUGAAUACAUAGCAUAUCAGAAGGCACACCCGGAGAACUGAAACAUCUUAGUACCGGAGGAAGAGAAAGAAAAUUCGAUUCCCUUAGUAGCGGCGAGCGAAACGGAAGAGCCCAAACCAACAAGCUUGCUUGUUGGGGUUGUAGGACACUCUAUACGGAGUUACAAAGGACGACAUUAGACGAAUCAUCUGGAAAGAUGAAUCAAAGAAGGUAAUAAUCCUGUAGUCGAAAAUGUUGUCUCUCUUGAGUGGAUCCUGAGUACGACGGAGCACGUGAAAUUCCGUCGGAAUCUGGGAGGACCAUCUCCUAAGGCUAAAUACUCUCUAGUGACCGAUAGUGAACCAGUACCGUGAGGGAAAGGUGAAAAGCACCCCGGAAGGGGAGUGAAAUAGAACCUGAAACCGUGUGCUUACAAGUAGUCAGAGCCCGUUAAUGGGUGAUGGCGUGCCUUUUGUAGAAUGAACCGGCGAGUUACGAUUUGAUGCAAGGUUAAGCAGUAAAUGUGGAGCCGUAGCGAAAGCGAGUCUGAAUAGGGCGUUUAGUAUUUGGUCGUAGACCCGAAACCAGGUGAUCUACCUUGGUCAGGUUGAAGUUCAGGUAACACUGAAUGGAGGACCGAACCGACUUACGUUGAAAAGUGAGCGGAUGAACUGAGGGUAGCGGAGAAAUUCCAAUCGAACCUGGAGAUAGCUGGUUCUCUCCGAAAUAGCUUUAGGGCUAGCCUCAAGUGAUGAUUAUUGGAGGUAGAGCACUGUUUGGACGAGGGGCCCCUCUCGGGUUACCGAAUUCAGACAAACUCCGAAUGCCAAUUAAUUUAACUUGGGAGUCAGAACAUGGGUGAUAAGGUCCGUGUUCGAAAGGGAAACAGCCCAGACCACCAGCUAAGGUCCCAAAAUAUAUGUUAAGUGGAAAAGGAUGUGGCGUUGCCAGACAACUAGGAUGUUGGCUUAGAAGCAGCCAUCAUUUAAAGAGUGCGUAAUAGCUCACUAGUCGAGUGACACUGCGCCGAAAAUGUACCGGGGCUAAACAUAUUACCGAAGCUGUGGAUUGUCCUUUGGACAAUGGUAGGAGAGCGUUCUAAGGGCGUUGAAGCAUGAUCGUAAGGACAUGUGGAGCGCUUAGAAGUGAGAAUGCCGGUGUGAGUAGCGAAAGACGGGUGAGAAUCCCGUCCACCGAUUGACUAAGGUUUCCAGAGGAAGGCUCGUCCGCUCUGGGUUAGUCGGGUCCUAAGCUGAGGCCGACAGGCGUAGGCGAUGGAUAACAGGUUGAUAUUCCUGUACCACCUAUAAUCGUUUUAAUCGAUGGGGGGACGCAGUAGGAUAGGCGAAGCGUGCGAUUGGAUUGCACGUCUAAGCAGUAAGGCUGAGUAUUAGGCAAAUCCGGUACUCGUUAAGGCUGAGCUGUGAUGGGGAGAAGACAUUGUGUCUUCGAGUCGUUGAUUUCACACUGCCGAGAAAAGCCUCUAGAUAGAAAAUAGGUGCCCGUACCGCAAACCGACACAGGUAGUCAAGAUGAGAAUUCUAAGGUGAGCGAGCGAACUCUCGUUAAGGAACUCGGCAAAAUGACCCCGUAACUUCGGGAGAAGGGGUGCUCUUUAGGGUUAACGCCCAGAAGAGCCGCAGUGAAUAGGCCCAAGCGACUGUUUAUCAAAAACACAGGUCUCUGCUAAACCGUAAGGUGAUGUAUAGGGGCUGACGCCUGCCCGGUGCUGGAAGGUUAAGAGGAGUGGUUAGCUUCUGCGAAGCUACGAAUCGAAGCCCCAGUAAACGGCGGCCGUAACUAUAACGGUCCUAAGGUAGCGAAAUUCCUUGUCGGGUAAGUUCCGACCCGCACGAAAGGCGUAACGAUUUGGGCACUGUCUCAACGAGAGACUCGGUGAAAUCAUAGUACCUGUGAAGAUGCAGGUUACCCGCGACAGGACGGAAAGACCCCGUGGAGCUUUACUGUAGCCUGAUAUUGAAAUUCGGCACAGCUUGUACAGGAUAGGUAGGAGCCUUUGAAACGUGAGCGCUAGCUUACGUGGAGGCGCUGGUGGGAUACUACCCUAGCUGUGUUGGCUUUCUAACCCGCACCACUUAUCGUGGUGGGAGACAGUGUCAGGCGGGCAGUUUGACUGGGGCGGUCGCCUCCUAAAAGGUAACGGAGGCGCUCAAAGGUUCCCUCAGAAUGGUUGGAAAUCAUUCAUAGAGUGUAAAGGCAUAAGGGAGCUUGACUGCGAGACCUACAAGUCGAGCAGGGUCGAAAGACGGACUUAGUGAUCCGGUGGUUCCGCAUGGAAGGGCCAUCGCUCAACGGAUAAAAGCUACCCCGGGGAUAACAGGCUUAUCUCCCCCAAGAGUUCACAUCGACGGGGAGGUUUGGCACCUCGAUGUCGGCUCAUCGCAUCCUGGGGCUGUAGUCGGUCCCAAGGGUUGGGCUGUUCGCCCAUUAAAGCGGUACGCGAGCUGGGUUCAGAACGUCGUGAGACAGUUCGGUCCCUAUCCGUCGUGGGCGUAGGAAAUUUGAGAGGAGCUGUCCUUAGUACGAGAGGACCGGGAUGGACAUACCUCUGGUGUACCAGUUGUCGUGCCAACGGCAUAGCUGGGUAGCUAUGUGUGGACGGGAUAAGUGCUGAAAGCAUCUAAGCAUGAAGCCCCCCUCAAGAUGAGAUUUCCCAACUUCGGUUAUAAGAUC